GACGAACGCUGGCGGCGUGCUUAACACAUGCAAGUCGAACGGAAAGGCCCUGCUUGCGGGGUACUCGAGAGGCGAACGGGGGAGUAACACGUGGGUGUUCUGCGCUGCAGUUCGGGAUAAGCCUGGGGAACAGGGGCGAAUACCGGGGAUGAGCUUCCAUGUAGCGUGGGGGGGGGAGGGAUGUAUCGGUGGGGGAUGAGCCAGUGGCCUAUCAGCUGGUUGGUGGGGUAGUGGCGGCCCAAGGCGGCGACGGGGGGCCGGCCUGAGAGGGGGGACGGCCACAUUGGGACUGAGGUGCGGCCCAGACUCCUACGGGAGGCAGCAGUGGGGAAUCUUGCACAAUGGGCGGAAGCCUGAUGCAGCGACGCCGCGUGGGGGAUGACGGCCUUCGGGUUGUAAACCUCUUUCGACAGGGACGAAGCUUCGGUGACGGUACCUGUAUAAGAAGCACCGGCUAACUACGUG
rnacentral:rRNA from 1 species